AUGCAAAAACAUCAUUUUAUUGACAUAGUAAUUAACAUACAGGAAAGUGGAGAAAGAACAAUAUCGUCCAAGCCAUCUCCAGCAGAUGAAGCAAUACAAGUUCUGGUAAAUGCCUACAAAUCCUCCAAUACUUCUGAAAAUGCCAAAAAGGAAAUGCAAGACAUAAAUGAAAUGGUUAGUAUUAUUCGGUAUUUAAUUUGUUUAAACUUUGCAUGGAUAUGUUAUCUACGUGAGAUGAGAUAUGAUAUUAUUUGGCUUGCUAACCCAGGGUGGAGUGAUGAUCAGAAGAAACCAAGCUAG
rnacentral:rRNA from 1 species